AAACAAGAGAAUACAGUCAUUGAUCAUAUGAAAUAAUAUAUUUGCGGCUUUCUUUAAUGUACUCCCCCUUACAUAUAUACAUAAAAAUGACAUGAAAUCGGUAAAAAUACCAACCCAUAUGAAAAUAUAUUGUGUAAGGCUGAUCUCUUUUUGAAAUCAUCAAAAUGCAGGCACGAAAUCCUCUUUUACGUACCAAUUCAAGAUCUUUGAAGGAUAGACUGCCCAAGGAAUAAGACCUGCAUACAUACGAUCUAUAAGCACAUAUAUUAUUUUAUUUUUUUCUUAUUUUUUAUAUUUUUUUGUGAU
rnacentral:misc_RNA from 1 species